rnacentral:tRNA from 1 species
AGCGAUAUAGCUUAAUCGGUGGAGCGGGCCGUGAAAAUGGCUGCGGGGCGGUUCGAUUCCAUCUAUCGCUA